rnacentral:sRNA from 1 species
AGCGUUGCCCUGGCGGAGCAGAGGCAGGCCCUCGGGGUGGAGGUCUUUGGUUUCAUAAGAGCCUGAGAGAGAUUUUUCUAAGAUAUGUGUAACACACCAACAUACUGUGACCUAGGAAAGGCUGCUAAGGAUGUCUUCAACAAAGGAUAUGGCUUUGGCAUGGUCAAGAUAGACCUGAAAACCAAGUCUUGUAGUGGAGUGAUGGUAAGAAAAAAAAGCUUAUUCGUAUGCUUGUUUUUAUGGCUGCUUUUGGUUUCUGGUAUUGAUUUAGGAUAAAUUUCAAUCAUUGUUCCAAAUUUCUUAGAUUGUGUCUUGAUAUUUUUCUCAUAUGCUAUCUACUUAACAGUAACAUUUUUGUUUGUUUUGUUGCUUACUAAGCAUUUAAUGUAGAGCUAUAUGCAUGUUAUAUGCAUGUUAUAAAUGUGUUUUGCACUUGUUUGACCAAAUUAUGAAAUUAGACACAAACUGAACUGUGAAUCGUGAGCCUGGAACUCAACUUAGAACAAUUCUAGCUUUUUUUCUGAGAUUUGUACGUGUGGCAUUUUAGAUUCGUGACAGACCUUCAAACUAAGAAUUGAUGCUGACAAGGGAGAAAUGUAGACUACCCCUCUACCUUAAUUUUGUGCAUAAGGCUUUUCUAGCACCAAAAUUAAGAUUUGCAUUUGUUAUACUUGUCAAGUUUGUGAAAAGUAAAUGUAAAAAAUAAAACACUAGAUAGUUGGAUCUACUAAAAGAAAAAUGUCACGUUAAAAUAAUUAUGUGAACAGUUAAACAUGAUUAACAUGUUAUCAUUUUUUUUUACUAAGGCCUUCCCCUAAAUGUGCAACAUGAUACUCUCUUUGAAACCAUUCUGUGUGGUGUUGAUAAACAGAACAUAUCUUCCCAGUUGUCUCAUCUGCCUGUAGAACUAGAGUUAGGGGGCAGGGCAUUUGUUAAGGAGAGGAUUCAUGUUGCAGGCAGUGAAAAAGACUGGUCAGGGUUGGCAGCAUCUCAUUACUGUUGGCAGGAUUUCAGAAAUGCUCCCUAAAACAGGACCAAUCAGAAUGUUUUUUCUUGACAGUUCAUAGAUUGUCAGUGACAGGUGCUGUCUGCUUUCCCCAGAAGGAGGUCUAUUUCUA